UACGGAGGGUGCAAGCGUUAUCCGGAUUCACUGGGUUUAAAGGGUGUGUAGGCGGGUAUUUAAGUCAGUGGUGAAGUCUCUGAGCUCAACUCAGAAACUGCCAUUGAUACUAUUUAUCUUGAAUAUCGUUGAGGUUGGCGGAAUAUAUCAUGUAGCGGUGAAAUGCAUAGAUAUGAUAUAGAACACCGAUUGCGAAGGCAGCUAACUAAGCGAUGAUUGACGCUGAGGCACGAAAGCGUGGGGAGCAAACAGG
rnacentral:rRNA from 1 species